GACGAACGCUGGCGGCGUGCUUAACACAUGCAAGUCGAACGGAAAGGCCCUGCUUUUGUGGGGUGCUCGAGUGGCGAACGGGUGAGUAACACGUGAGUAACCUGCCCUUGACUUUGGGAUAACUUCAGGAAACUGGGGCUAAUACCGGAUAGGAGCUCCUGCUGCAUGGUGGGGGUUGGAAAGUUUCGGCGGUUGGGGAUGGACUCGCGGCUUAUCAGCUUGUUGGUGGGGUAGUGGCUUACCAAGGUUUUGACGGGUAGCCGGCCUGAGAGGUUGGCCGGCCACAUUGGGACUGAGAUACGGCCCAGACUCCUACGGGAGGCAGCAGUGGGGAAUAUUGCACAGUGAGCGGAAGCCUGAUACAGCAACGCCGCGUGCGGGAUGACGGCCUUCGGGUUGUGAACCGCUUUCGCCUGUAACGAAGCGUGAGUGACGGUAAUGAGUAAAGAAGCACCGGCUAACUACGUG
rnacentral:rRNA from 1 species